rnacentral:ncRNA from 1 species
GAACGCCGGAUGAGGCGAAAGUCUCAUGUCCGGUGUGAAGUGGGGGAAAAGGAGCCUGUACAGGUAAUGCUGUUAGAGUGUCCUUACCUAUCACUAU